rnacentral:rRNA from 1 species
AUCCCAGUUCGGAUUGCAGGCUGCAACCCGCCUGUAUGAAGUUGGAAUCGCUAGUAAUCGCGGAUCAGCAUGCCGCGGUGAAUACGUUCCCGGGCCUUGUACACACCGCCCGUCACACCAUGAGAGUCGGGAACACCCGAAGUCCGUAGCCUAACCGCAAGGGGGGCGCGGCCGAAGGUGGGUUCGAUAAUUGGGGUGAAGUCGUAACAAGGUACC